rnacentral:misc_RNA from 1 species
CCAGAGUGCCCUAGGCUCUCCAACCCAUUGUGAACAUACCUAUCGUUCCCUCGGCGGGCUCAGCGCGCGGUGCCUCCGGGCUCCGGGCGUCCGCCGGGGACAACCAAGCUCUGAUUUUAUUGUGAAUCUCUGAGGGGCGAAAGCCCGAAAACAAAAUGAAUCA